rnacentral:rRNA from 1 species
AGAGUUUGAUCCUGGCUCAGAGCGAACGUUAGCGGCGGGCCUAACACAUGCAAGUCGAACGCGAAAGGUCUUCGGACUGAUUGAGUGGCGCACGGGUGAGUAACACGUAGGUAAUCUACCCUUUGGCGGGGGAUAACGUUCCGAAAGGGACGCUAAUACCGCAUAAGACCACGACGUCUUUGGACGAUGUGGGAAAAGGUGGCCUCUUCUUGAAAGCUACCACCGGAGGAUGAGCCUGCGUCCCAUCAGCUAGUUGGUAAGGUAAUGGCUUACCAAGGCGAAGACGGGUAGCUGGUUUGAGAGAAUGAUCAGCCACACUGGCACUGGAACACGGGCCAGACUCCUACGGGAGGCAGCAGUGAGGAAUAUUGGGCAAUGGGCGAAAGCCUGACCCAGCCACGCCGCGUGAGUGAUGAAGGCCUUCGGGUCGUAAAGCUCUGUGGAGAGGGACGAAAACCCUGGUUUCAAAUAGGCUCCAGGCUUGACGGUACCUCUUUAGCAAGCACCGGCUAACUCUGUGCCAGCAGCCGCGGUAAUACAGAGGGUGCAAACGUUGCUCGGAUUUACUGGGCGUAAAGCGCGUGUAGGCGGGUUCGCAAGUCGGACGUGAAAGCCCUGGGCUCAACCCAGGAACUGCGUUCGAAACUGCGAAUCUAGAGUAGUGGAGAGGAAAGUAGAAUUCCCGGUGUAGAGGUGAAAUUCGUAGAUAUCGGGAGGAAUACCAGUGGCGAAGGCGGCUUUCUGGACACUUACUGACGCUGAGACGCGAAAGCGUGGGGAGCAAACAGGAUUAGAUACCCUGGUAGUCCACGCUGUAAACGAUGUGUGCUAGGUGUCGCGGGAUUUGACUUCUGCGGUGCCGUAGCUAACGCGUUAAGCACACCGCCUGGGGAGUACGGCCGCAAGGCUAAAACUCAAAGGAAUUGACGGGGGCCCG